AGAGUUUGAUCAUGGCUCAGGAUGAACGCUAGCUACAGGCUAACACAUGCAAGUCGAGGGGUAGCAGGGUAGCAAUACCGCUGACGACCGGCGCACGGGUGAGUAACACGUAUCCAACUUCCCAUAACUCAGGGAUAGCCUUUCGAAAGAAAGAUUAAUACCUGAUAGUACUUUUUCAAGGCAUCUUGAGAAAGUUAAAGAUUUAUUGGUUAUGGAUGGGGAUGCGUUCCAUUAGAUAGUUGGUGAGGUAACGGCUCACCAAGUCUUCGAUGGAUAGGGGUUCUGAGAGGAAGGUCCCCCACAUUGGUACUGAGACACGGACCAAACUCCUACGGGAGGCAGCAGUGAGGAAUAUUGGUCAAUGGGCGAGAGCCUGAACCAGCCAAGUAGCGUGAAGGAUGAAGGUCCUAUGGAUUGUAAACUUCUUUUAUAGUAGAAUAAAGUGAUCCACGUGUGGAUUUUUGUAUGUAUACUAUGAAUAAGGAUCGGCUAACUCCGUGCCAGCAGCCGC
rnacentral:rRNA from 1 species